GAUGAACGCUGGCGGCGUGCCUAAUACAUGCAAGUCGAGCGAAGCGGGGACGGGUGAGUAACACGGGGAUAACCUCCUAUAAGACUGGGAUAAGUUCGGGAAACAGGAGCUAAACAGGAUACUUAUAGCUGGAUCAGCGCUGCAUUAGCUAGUUGUUAAGGCAACGCCUUACCACGGCAACGAUGCAUAGCCGACCUGAGAGGGUGAUCGUCCACACUGUAACUGAGACACGGUCCAGACUCCUCCGGUAGGCAGCAUGAGGGAAUCUUCCGCAAUGGGCGAAAGCCUGACGGAGCAACGCCGCGUGAGUGAUGAAGGUCUUCGGAUCGUAAAACUCUGUUAUUAGGGAAGCGGUACCUAAUCAGAAAGCCACGGCUAACUACGUGCCAGCAGCCGCGGUAAUUC
rnacentral:rRNA from 1 species